UACGGGGGAUGCAAGCGUUAUCCGGAUUUAUUGGGUUUAAAGGGUGCGUAGGCUGUGAGGUAAGUCAGCGGUGAAAUGCCCCCGCUCAACGGGGUGAAGUGCCAUUGAUACUGCCUUGCUGGAAUGCGGAUGCCGUGGGAGGGAUGUGUGGUGUAGCGGUGAAAUGCAUAGAUAUCACACAGAACACCGAUUGCGAAGGCAUCUCACGAAUCCGCUAUUGACGCUGAUGCACGAAAGCGUGGGUAUCAAACAGG
rnacentral:rRNA from 1 species